GACGAACGCUGGCGGCGUGCUUAACACAUGCAAGUCGAACGGUAAGGCCCUUCGGGGUACACGAGUGGCGAACGGGUGAGUAACACGUGGGUGAUCUGCCCUGCACUUCGGGAUAAGCCUGGGAAACUGGGUCUAAUACCGGAUAGGACCACUGCCUGCAUGGGUGGUGGUGGAAAGCUUUUGCGGUGUGGGAUGGGCCCGCGGCCUAUCAGCUUGUUGGUGGGGUGAUGGCCUACGAAGGCGACGACGGGGAGCCGGCCUGAGAGGGUGACCGGCGACACUGGGACUGAGAUACGGCCCAGACUCCUGCGGGAGGAAGCAGUGGGGAAGAUUGCACCAUGGGCGCAAGCCGGAUGCAGCGACGCCGCGUGAGGGAUGACGGCCUUCGGGUUGUAAACCUCUUUCAGCAUCGACGAAGCGCAAGUGACGGUAGGUGCAGAAGAAGGACCGGCCAACUACGUGCCAGCCGCCGCCGUAA
rnacentral:rRNA from 1 species